rnacentral:rRNA from 1 species
GUACGCUGGCGGCACGCCUAACACAUGCAAGUCGAACGAAGUAGCAAUACUUAGUGGCAGACGGGUGAGUAACAUGUGGGUAUCUGCCCUUUGGCCUGGAAUAACACGAGGAAACUUGUGCUAAUACCGGAUAAGUCUUUACAGAGAAAGCUUUAUGCACCAAUGGAUGAGCCUGCACUUGAUUAGUUUGUUGGUGGGGUAAUGGCCUACCAAGACUGUGAUCAAUAGCUGAUUUGAGAGGAUGAUCAGCCACAUUGGGACUGAGACACGGCCCAAACUCCUACGGGAGGCAGCAGUGGGGAAUCUUGCACAAUGGAGGAAACUCUGAUGCAGCGAUGCCGCGUGAGUGAAGAAGGCCUUUGGGUUGUAAAGCUCUUUCGUCGGGGAAGAAAAUGACUGUACCCGAAUAAGAAGGUCCGGCUA